rnacentral:rRNA from 1 species
UACGUAGGGUCCGAGCGUUGUCCGGAGUUACUGGGCGUAAAGGGCGCGUAGGCGGGCGGCCAGGUCCGGGGUGAAAGCCCCCAGCUCAACUGGGGAAGUGCCUUGGAUACCGGCCGCCUCGAGGGAGGCAGGGGCGUGCGGAACUUCGGGUGGAGCGGUGAAAUGCGUAGAUAUCCGAAGGAACACCGGUGGCGAAAGCGGCGCGCUGGACCUCUUCUGACGCUGAGGCGCGAAAGCCAGGGGAGCAAACGGG